UACGGAGGAUGCGAGCGUUAUCCGGAUUUAUUGGGUUUAAAGGGUGCGGAGGCGGGAUGCCAAGUCAGCGGUAAAAAUGCGGUGCUCAACGCCGUCGAGCCGUUGAAACUGGCGUUCUUGAGUGGGCGAGAAGUAUGCGGAAUGCGUGGUGUAGCGGUGAAAUGCAUAGAUAUCACGCAGAACUCCGAUUGCGAAGGCAGCAUACCGGCGCCCUACUGACGCUGAGGCACGAAAGCGUGGGUAUCGAACAGG
rnacentral:rRNA from 1 species